UACGGAGGGAGCUAGCGUUAUUCGGAAUUACUGGGCGUAAAGCGCACGUAGGCGGCUUUGUAAGUUAGAGGUGAAAGCCUGGAGCUCAACUCCAGAACUGCCUUUAAGACUGCAUCGCUUGAAUCCUGGAGAGGUGAGUGGAAUUCCGAGUGUAGAGGUGAAAAUUCGUAGAUAUUCGGAAGAACACCAGUGGCGAAGGCGACUCGCUGGACAGACAUUGACGCUGAGGUGCGAAAGCGUGGGGAGCAAACAGG
rnacentral:rRNA from 1 species